UAUUUAGCACUUUGUUCCGCCAACAAAGAAGUCAUCCUUGAGAUUUCCCAUUCCUUCCCUGUCGAGCCUCCUCUCUUCGCCAUUCGAUGCUUCCGCCUUCCCUCUGUAUAUCAUACCCAGGCGCCCCCCUUUCCAAUCACUAAGAAAAAAAAUCCCAAUCAAGGCCCUAUCUGAGUAAAGCUUCGUCUGUUAUUUUUCCGACCCCAUGGGAUUUAUUCGACCCAUUCCCCAGCUGCUCAAGUAAGUAUGCGACUCCGUAUGAGGACCUUCUUCUCUUCUGCCCACUCUCCGUUCAGACGGUUCUCAUGUAGAGGAGGAAGGGUGGGCAGCAUGCACCAGGAGCCCUCUGUCCCACACAUCUAUCCAGAAGCAAGUGUAGUUAAUCGGUUCCACCGAAUGCUCCUAUCUCUCGACAAAGAUCGUGUGAGUGUGCACUUAUGCUUUGGAUGCUUCACCAUAGAAUAGAUAGAUCCAGUUCCCAUUCUUUUCCGGUGCACUCGCUUUAUAUAUCUGACACAAAAGGAAGGAUGUAGUGGGAAGGAAGCAGCCCUGCCUCUGUACGGCCGAUCAUUCUGCUGGCAUCUCGAAUUCACGCCACCGUUUGACUGCCGCUCGGGGAUGUAGUUGUUGAUAGGUUAGUCUUAGUGGGUCGUUGGCUCCACCUGUUAUCUCCUUCUAUGGCAUGCUGUUGUCGUCGCCAUAUUUCAUAUGUCACUUAGUCAUCUAUGCCUCGUUGCGGGUCAGCACCUCCGAAAGAAACGGAGGACUUCAUUCAGUGACUCACGAUCGCCCUCUGAACGAUAAGAAUAAGGUAAAGCUUGAAGAUAAGUUUCAUACUCAAUUAAUUUCUCAGUCCCUCUCGCCGGCAGGUUUUUCGACCAGAUCCCCCUAAUAACCGUACGUGCGGGUCUCCUUGCAUGCGGCUCACUCCAUUUUAAGAAAAAUCAAAGAGAUGGUGGAUUUUUUAAUUAUGGGCCCUUCAUACAUCCAAAGAUAACUUUAGGGUCGGGAUGAGCAUGAUGGUAAAAGUGAUGCCUAAUUGACGAACAUGUCAAUUCUUGCGAGAAUAGCCCUCGACAAUUUUGAUGACGUUCUAAAGCUAUUCUGACAAAGAAGGUUGAGGAUUAGCCGAAACUGGAUUUUCUUAUUUCUUUUUGAUAAAAAAAACUAGACAUAUUUCCCCUUUAUUUAAAAAUAUUAUUUUUGCAAUAUGGGUCCGAACCGUAUAGAGGUUGCCUAUGUAUCUCACAUCUGGUGAGAAUCAGACCCGCGUAGUUCGUAAAUCUUUUAGGAAUAGAUGACACUUUUUUUCUUGAAAAACUUAGGCUUAUUUUGUAAUAAUCUUUUUGGGGUAAAUAUUGAGAUUUUUAAAAAACUGGGUAAAUUUCCUCCCUCCUAGCCCUUAAUUUUUAUAUUUUUAUUUUAUUUUAUUAUCUUUUAGAAGCCAGUCAACAUGCACAAGCCAAAUCAAACAUAAUACACAAGUAACACAUAAGAUGCAUCAGGAUGGUCUUGCAAUUCUCGAGUACACCUGACCUAGACGGACCGAACCCCUGUGUUGAGUUCCGAAAGUCUGAUGCACAUGAUGGAAACAAAUGUUUCCACUAGGGAUCCAGUAUGAGGUUAUGUUAUUCUAGGUUUAAAUCCUGGGGGGAGUAUUUUAGACAUGGCUUACCCAAGCAGACAGCUUGAGCCGAGAUGGGGGCAACGUACCAGGACCACGAAAGUCUACCCGGCCUAGUUAAUUGGCCCAACCUCAUUCUAAUUGGUAUGACUUCUAACAGAAAAGUGGGCCACGCGCACGUGUGCACCAUAAAUUUAGAAGACUUAGGAGGGAGGCAUAAGAACAUAGUUUAAUACAAUUCAAUUAAUAUCAAAAUGGUAAAUAAGCGGCAAUUAGCACAUUUGGCCAAAAAAUACAAUAAUAACAUCAAGCUCGAAUUCUUAUUAUCCCCAAUAGAGUCGUCAUAGCCGUCACACCUCCUUUUUUCGAGGAGAUAGAAAAAAAAAGAGUUUUUCCAAUUCAAGUGACAUUAUCUGAAAGGGAUUAAUUUAUUUUAAUUUAAAUAGUCGCCACUUGAAAUAAAUUUUUACGGUGUCCCAAAUCACCAUUUACUUAAAAAUUCCAAUUCAAGGAAAUUGACUCUAUUUAAAAUCCGCAAAACCAAAAAGUCGGGUAAGGAAAUCUAUUAAUCCGGGGUAAGGUGUUAAGAACUCCUAAAUUCUAUGGUUUUAGUAUGGUUGCUUUAUCAUACCUGGUGCAAAACCUAAAAGCUGGGUAAGGAAUUCUAUUAAUCAGGGAGAAGGUGUAGCACUCCUAAAUUAUGUGGUUUUAGUAUGGUUGCUUUAUCAUACCUGGCUUAAUUAAACUGUUGUAGUUAAGUAUUUUAGUCACUAAAUGUAUUGAAGAAAAUAAGUUUCAUCGAAACUCCACAAGUUUGGAAUAUUAUAAUAUAUACAUUUGGGGUGAGACUAGGGUUAUUAACCUGAUGAGGAGGUUAAGUUAUGAGUUAUUUUAGUUGUAUGAUAUUAAUGUGUUAUGUUUUUAAGUCAAGCGUGUUGUGGAACAAAACGUUGACAAAGGUCAUCACAAGUUGCAUUCAUAAUAUGCUGAAAUUUAGGUAAAAUGUUGAUGUACUUUUCUCCCAACAUACUUGGAACAAAGGCAUUAUAUACAUACCAAAUUACAGAUCUAUGAAUCUAGUUUUCAGUGCAUUCAACCAUUCAUCUAUACGGUAUCUGAGUAAAGAGAUUAUUAUAUUUUUACGAGCCUGCAUAGAUUAGUAGGUGACAAGCAGGUGCAUCACCUACUUGCCAAUAGGAGUGGACAAAAUUAAAAACCCCAAAGUCGGAAAAGAGGGGCCAUUUAAGGGCUUAUAUACUCAUAUAAUUCUCUUAUGUUUCAAACCAUGAGAAUCAAAUUUCACCCCUGCAACUUCUCCCCACAAAAAUAUUUCACAUAAACCCUAGGAUGUUACUAUACGAUUCUAGCGCCGAAAAGCUCAGACAGCUAGCUAGUUUCUCUUUCUCCAUAAUGUAGUUGUGUUGGGGGACUGAUUUUUUGAUGGAGAAGGACUAGGUUUCGCGGUUCUACUCAGUCCAAGGUAAGUUUGUGCUUCUCCUUCCAUUAUCUAUGCUUGUACGAGUUGUAACUUGACCGUUUAUAUCUAUUUCAUCAUAAAAUAGGUUGUGGUCGGUACAUAAUAGUUAUGAUGCUUAAACAUUACUGAUAGUGUCAUUUCUCCUAUUGUAAACUAAGGAGUCAUGACAUACAUAAUAGUUAUGACGCUUAAACAUUACCGAUAGUGUUAUUUCUUCUAUUGUAAACUAAGGAGUCAUGACAUUUUCAUGGCCUGAGGAUUGGCAGUAUAUACAAGGUAUGUGAGGCUAUACUUUUCCUUCUUUUGCAUGACCUCGAUUGUACAUAAUCCAAUGAAGCUAGCAGUACUUACAUUGUUUCCUUUCUUAUGGAACAACGGAUGUUGAGGUUUCUUCUCUUAUUCUUAUUCUUAUGUUAUUUCCAAUGAAGCUAACAGUACUUACAUUGUUUCCUUUCUUAUGAAACAACAGAUGUUGAGGUUUCUUCUCUUAUUCUUAUUCUUAUGUUAUCGAUGUUUUUAGUACUUCCUGAUUCUAAUAAGAUUCUUGAUGAAGUAUUAUUCCUAAUAACCUGUGUGAAGAAUAUUGACCUUAUGGUCCACAUGACCUUUGCUAAGCUCCACGUGGCCGGGUACGAUUCUACCGAGCCUUAUGAUGGCCAGGUACAUUUUUAUUGAGUCUUCAUUGAGGCGGGGUACGAUAUGAUGAUGAUGAUGAUGACCACACGUUUAUUGUUAAAAGUAUAUAUAUAUAUAUAUACAUCAGUAGCCCUAGAGGCACGUAGAUGUUACAGGUUGUAUCUCCUCUAUCCCUCUUCACAUUACUGUUCUUGUUUAUGUUUUUCCUGCCUUACAUACUCGGUACAUUAUUUUUACCCACGUCCUUUAUGCCAGGGGAUGCUGCGUUUCAUGAUCGUGGGUCUUGAUAGAAAGGCCGAGAGUCCUCCAAGUAGGCUAUCACCUUAGCAAAAGGUGUUGGUGCGCUCUAUUUGCAUUGGAGUUGCUUCUUUGGUCAGUAUGAUUAGUACAUGUAUUGAUUGGUAUAGUGGGACCUUGUCCAAACCAUUUAUGAUAUUAUGAAGUCUUAAAGGCUUGUAGACAGAUAUCAUGUAUAAAGAUACCUAUAUGGCCUUGUCGUCCUAUGUUUUCAGUUUUCAAAUGGUCAUGUCGGCCUUAUAGGCCCGUAUGUCACAUGUAUAAGUUUGUAUAUCAUGUUUGGUCGUCAUAUGUUGAGCAUUCCCUUAUGUUUUAUUCUUAUUAUCUCAUGUCAGAUUUUCUAGCUCACUUACCAAUAAUAGUAUAAUAAAUCGUCAUAUGUUGAGCAUUCCCUUAUGUUUAAUUCUUGUUAUCUCAUGUCAGAUUUUCUAGCUCACUUACCAAUAAUAGUAUAAUAAGAAAGAUAUGUUAUGUUGGUACUCGAUCGAGUAAGGCACCCGGUACCCAUCGCGGCCCUUCUAUUUGGGUCGUGACAGAGAAGCCUGAGAAAACUUAUCGUAUACAUUUUCUUUCCUAUGUUGUGUUUAUGUGUGUUGGUUUUGUUAUGCUAUUAAAAGACAUACGAAAAAAAUAUGGUCAAACGAUAAUUUAUUUGAUUCUCGAAAUUAGAAUACCAUCACAUAUAUUUGGACGGAAAGAGUGCCAAUAUAUAAUAGUUUUCUCUUUUUUAUGUUUGUCAUUCCAUGUUAAGACCUGCUUUGGGCCCCGACUAAUAGAGAGUCUUGCUGCUAGGGGACUUCAAACGAAUUGAAAACCGCAUCAAAUCGUAAUGUCAAACCAAUUCGAUUGAAAACCCCAAUUAUGUUUGGUUUGAUAUGAUUUGGUAUUGAGUAAAAAUACCUGAACCAAACCGACAUAUAUAUAAAAAAUUAUAUAUAAUUUUAAGGCUUUGUAUUGAAUUUUCUUUAAAAAGAUAUCUAAACAUAUUUGGGAUCCUCUAAUGAGAUGUAAUAUUUAAUAGAACUAUGAAGUGCAUUUAUUUUUAUUUAUUUUAAAUAAUGAAACAUAUCGCUUUCUUAUAAAGUAUUAUUGAAAUGCGUCAAUCAUCUUUUAGUUAUUCCAUAUUCAUAUAUCAAUGUUUCUUUAAUCUUUUUCAGAUUUGAAGUGGUAUUUUAAUAAUUAUUUAAAAAUAAUAAUCUUUUUCAGAUUUGAAGUGAUAUUUUGAUAAUUUUUUAAAAAUAAAUAGAAUAUAUCGUUACUUAGGUAUCAUAUUGAUUUGUAUAUUUAAUUAUUAAAUUCGUAUAGCCUUGAAAGCAUACAUCAACAAACAAUUGUUAUUAGAUGACAAAGAAAAUAACUAUCAUGUGUUACAGAAAUAUUCUCUAAUAAGAAUAUUUUAAUAGAUCAUAUGUUUGUCAAUUUUUUAAAUUUUAGUAAACAUAUAUGGACUUAUCAAAUUUUAUUGAUAAUCUUCACAAAGUAAGAUUGAAAUAAAGUUCAAGUAACAAAAAAAAUCCAAAAACCCCAAUAAACCCGAACCAAUACAAACCGAUAUAAUUGGUUCUAUUUGAAUUUGAUAAAAUCUGAACCAACCAUGUCCAUGUGCACCUCUACGGUUGAUGCAUAAGACCGUUAAUGAAGAAAGUGCCGCCUAAUGUACUAUUCUUUUAUGCUUUGCUAGCAUUUAUUACAAAAUAAUUAGUGAGAUAUAAAUAGAUUACUUUGCAAAGAUUGGUGAUUCAGUUAUAGAAGCCGAUCCUUAAGAUAUUUUCCUUUAUUUUGUUUGAUUAUGUUUCCUUUGAUAGAGUCUUGUAUAAGUGUAUAAAUCUCAUGUAUUCAUGAAUAGAAAUACAACAAGUUAUCCUCUCUGAUUACAUGGUAUCAGAGCAAAGCUUGCCUCUUUGCCGAGGUUGUCGUCUCUGUAGCCGACAGCUAGGUUGCUUCACAAGAAGUUCUGAUUACAUGGUAUCAGAGAAAUGCUUUCCUCUCUGCCGAGGUUGUCGUCUCUGUAGCCGACUGCUAGGUUGCUUCACAAGAAGUUAAGCAACAACUCUGUUUGGUGGUUUUGACAUGAAUAUCAACCAAAAAGCUUUGCGUUGAAGAUAAAUUUUGUACUCAAUUAAUUUCUCAGUCCCUCUAGUCGGGUGGGCGCCGGCCGGUUUUUCGACCAGAUCCCCCUAAAAACCGUACGUGCGGGUCUCCCCGCAUGCGGCUCACGCCAUUCGAGCUGCGUUGAAGAUAAGUUUUGUACUCAACAAAUUUCUCAGUCCCUCUAGUCGGGUGGGCGCCGGCUGGUUUUUCGACCAGAUCCCCCCAAAAAUUGUACGUGCAGGUCUCCCCGCAUGCGGCUCACGCCAUUCAAGCCCUUACAGAUAUUAUGAAAGUAAAUCCAAGUCGUAUGUACGAACCACUCAAUGGAGAAUCUCAGGCCCAUAAGCUACGACUACAAAACGAAUUGGAUCGGGUUCAGCGCUUGAAAGCUAUCGAAGAAGAGUCAAUUCAAUGCUCAAGUCAAAGGGGGGAGUCCACUUAUUCAAUAGAAGAGAAGCCUAUAUCUGCCGACCCUACUUCACUUCCUUAUAGUGCCUUGCCUACUGUCUUUGAAUAAUGCUUCAUUCCAGGGCGUAAAAGAAAGCUUAGUAUAGUACUUCCUAAUAGUGCCUUGCCUACUGUCUAUGAGUAAUGCUUCAUUCCAGGGCACAAACGAAAGCUUAGUAUAGCAAUUGAAUUAACCUUUUGUACUACGGACGACCUAUGAGAUGGUUUGAAUAGGUUCUCAAACCUACUUCUGUACGAACAGUCUUCUUCGGCUAAGGCUGGAAAAUCCAACUCUUUUUUGUUAAAAAUAGAUCACGGAUCAUGGGCUAUCGACCCGACAGUGCUCUGUUGGUCCAUUUAGUGGAUCCUCCCCCCAAAAACAAGAUCAUAUUGAGCAGCAACUUCGAGGAAGAUAGCAUUGGGACAUGCUAUUACCUAUGUAUGGUGACGGGUGUCAUGCCAGAGUCUGUCCGGGUGGGCUCAAGCUAAAGCAGGAGAAGAGAGUUAGCUUUCUGCUGAGUGAGCCCGAACAGGAGCGGACGCACACUAGAUCAGAGCAAGUUUAGCUGGCCCAAUGGCGCAGACACCUACUAGGAUGAGGCAUAGCGAGAAUUGAAGCCCGAACAGAAGCGGAAGCACACUAGAUCAGAGCAAGUUUAGCUGGCCUAAUGGUGCAGACACCUACUAGGAUAAGGCAUAGCGAGAAUUGAACCCACAUCUCGUUGAGCUGCUCCAGCAAGCACCCCUUUCGGAAGCUCAAUUUGUAGGACCGGGGAGAACACUCGCAGGCGUGCAGGCGUUUUGAGAGAGCGCAAAACUCUAACUUGAGUAAGUGCCAGCCAGGCAAAAGGGUUAGCCUGAAGUGGUGGUUUAGCCAAAGGGGGAACGUGCAACGGUUGGAUUCAGCACGCUCUUAGAAUAGCUGUGGAAAUCCGAACGCCUAUCCCAACACGGAGAGCUACAGGCAAAAAGGUUAGCCUGAAGUGGUGGUUUAGCCAAAGAGGGAACGUGCAACGGUUGGAUUCAGCACGCUCUUAGAAUAUCUGUGGAAAUCCGAACGCCUAUCCCAACACGGAGAGCUUAUCCGCUACAUCAACAUAAGAAAUAGUCUAGUCCAAUAUUUCUUGUCCUUAAAAUAUCAUAUAUGCACCACUGGUGAUCCUUUCUAAAUCCAGCUUCAACCGAGCAUACGUCUGCCGCGGGAAUAGGAAGAACAGAAAUUAACUUUUAUGUUGAAGUCUUUCCCGUUGGAAGGCUGGGGGGCGCCUUGCAUCUCUUGGAAAAAUCAUGCUUUGUAUCUGAAGUUAUUGGCCCCUGGUCCUCAGUGAGGAAAGGACCUAGAACAGAGUAGAGGGCCGAUAGGAAGUUAAAAGCAAUUCUUAUUUCUUCUUUCUCAAAAACCUGAUGUGAGGGGGCCCACUGGGAUGUCCAUAAUUGAAGCAUUUUUCUUCAUCGACUGUCGGUUUUUUACUAGGUGGCCGAUGUCUUUGAUGCUUUGGUUUUCGCAGGAAAGGGUAAGGGUUCCAAACUUAGCGUGUGAGCUUUGAUGAAGACUUGCAUCACUAUUCGUUUCCUCGUGGCUCGAUUGCUCAUUUCUUUGAUGCUUUGGUUUUCGUAGGAAAGGGUAAGGGUUCCAAACUUAGUGUGUGAGCUUUGAUGAAGACUUGCAACACUAUUCGUUUUCUCGUGGCUCGAUUGCUCAUUUGCUUCUUCCUUUGGGCAUGAAGUGUUUGGUGAGGCCUUUCUUCGCCUGUUGAAAAGCUAGCCCUUGCUCAAAGAUCUUUUUUAUUUAGCACUAGAGGGAGCCCUCCAAUCUUAAAAAACCGAUGGAAUGCGAUCUCAUAGGCAAUUUCCUAUGAGGGCUGGACCCCCAGCAUCUGUAGAAGAAAGUCAAUCUUAAAAAACUGAUGGAAUACGAUCUCAUAGGCAAUUUUCUAUGUGGGCUGGACCCCUAGCAUCUGUAGAAGAAAGGGGUAACUCAAUCAUGAAACUGAAUUUCCAAGCGGAAGGAUGAGAAAAAAAAAUCCACUACUGCAAAAAUCUUUCCUUCUUUUUUAGUAAGGGUGUCUGCCGCAAGUAUGGGGGGACAUUCCCCAUCAUAGAGAAAGUAGGACAAGUUGCCUAAAAACUUCAGCUUCUUUCCAAGCUAAAGAUCCACCCUGUCUUCCAUGUGGGGUGUCUAAAGACAUACCAUCCAGACAUGGAAGACCCUACAAGAGGCGUUCCCAAGAGGCCACCGGAAAGGAUGACGACUUCCUUGUCGAAGGAAGUGGAAUAUGUGAUGGCGGAACGCAAAGACUUCAGCUUCUUUCCAAGCUAAAGUUCCACCUUGUCUUCCAUGUGGGGUGUCUAAAGACAUACCAUCCAGACAUGGAAAACCCUAUAAGAGGCGUUCCCAAGAGGCCACCGGAAAGGAUGACGACUUCCUUGUCGAAGGAAGUGGAAUAUGUGAUGGUGGAACGCAAUGUUAAUCGACGUGGUGUCCCAGCUUAAACUUUUGACUUGGUAAAGUAGAAGGUUCUACCGAAGGAGGGAAGCUCUAGGGUUUUGCUAACCAGUGUGAAGUUGAGUUCUAUAUUUCCCUAGUUCAUGCAAGGCUAACCUUUGGGUUUUUGCUUUCUGGAAAACCUCUUACCAGAUGGUUGUUUGCGACAUCCUUUAAGUCUCGCCUAGCCUCUCCCGCCGUUCUCCAGGAAACUAGCGGCUCGCAGCUGUUUAGCUCCUUCUCUAGGAGAUAGGACAUGUGCCGCUGACUGGGUUCAGGACUCAAACCAUCGUCUGAACCGCCUGCUACCAAGUCCAUGGGUUGGAACGCAUAACAAACUGAAAAAGUACUUCUGCCGGUCGACGAAUGUGUGCGGAGGUUGUAGCAGUGUUGAAUUAACGACUUCUUUGGAACCAGACUGGGUAACUUUAAAGGUGGUCCCGAUGUUAGAUUCUGAAGAACCGACAGUUCUAUUGGUGACCCAUUCAAAAGAAGCUGGCCGCUUUGACUUUGAUUAGCCAAUCGAGUGCGUAGGGUGCUGUGCUCCUCUUCAUUUGUUCCCGUUAACAGCCGCUUUGACAUUGAUUAGCCAAUCGAGUGCGUAGGGUGCUGUGCUCCUCUUCAUUUGUUCCCGUUAAUGACCACAAAGCCCAACACUGCUCAUGCUCGCUACUUGCCCAGUUGCCCUAUUUUACUACUUUGACUAGCGCUCGGCAAAGGAAUGAUUUUUUCCCAAAGCCGACUUCCUUUAUCGAGCGGCUCUCUCUGUUAACGAUAAAAGCGAUGGUCUGGGCUGUCUGAAAUAAGCGGUAAUUUUUAUCAGUCCUAAUCCUAUUAAAUACCACAUGAAGCACGUGAUCACCCAUAUUCCUAAUGCCUUAAUUAUAUUUUAUAUAUAAUAACUUAUCGACGGCAGCCCCCUUCCUACUCCAGCUAAUGGAAAAAUCCCUUUGAAUGGUCGUAGUCGUCAACAACCAAAUCGGCGUCCACCAUUGGCUCGGUGUGCUGUCCUCCUAGAUUUCCCGAAGGUAAUGCCAGGGCCUUUUCAGUACUAACGACUCUUGAUGCCAAGAAGGAGACAAACUAGACAAGAUAGACCUUUGUUCAUAGGUUGGUUAUAAGCCCGGAGAUCGAAUCAGAUUCUUCCCCUUUGAGAGGGAUUCUCGUGCCAACCAUAGGAAGAAGAACUCGGUUACUCAUCUUGGAUCGGAUUGGAUUAAUAGCUUUGUGCUGAUCUACGAACGGGCCUUCUAUUUGAUUUAUACUAUACUUCGGAAGAACUCGGUUACUCGUCUUGGAUCAGAUUGGAUUAAUAGCUUUUUGCUGAUCUACGAACGAGCCUUAUAUUCAAUUUAUGCUAUACUUCUUCAGGUCUCCAUCAUCCCGAUCUCUCUUUCCUGCCUGUCCAAAGAAAACAGAACCUCUUCUAGUUCAAGGUCGAAAUCCUCAAACCAAUCAAAAUCUGAUUUCUAGUUCACUAUUCUUAUGAUAAGAAGUUAUGUCUCAUUUAUGUGAUGAGAAAGCUGAGGAUGAAAAUUAGCAAAUUUCACAUCUACGGCAGAUUCUGUGCCCCAAAUCAAUUAGGCUUAUGAAACUAAGCGGGCGCGGAAGGUAUGACCCCUCCCCCAUUGAACAAAGGGGAUCCGUAGGGCGGGCUCACUCACAUACUGGAUAGGUGACUCGGAAUUAUAGUGCUAGUUCCGUUCCCUCGGGGAAGAGAAAGCACGAAUCUAUUACAAUCUUAGUAGAGAACAGAGGAGGAAGAAAAACGUUGGUUCUUCGUUCCGUCCUUGACCUAUGAUAUGAUCAAUAGCUUGGGGGAAGAGAAAGAACGAAUCUAUUACAAUCUUAGUAGAAAACAGAGGAGGAUGAAAAACGUUGGUUCUUCGUUCCGUCCUUGACCUAUGAUAUGAUAAAUAGCUUAAUCCAUCCAUUGGACCACCUGGAAUUCUUAAUUAAACAUUUACCCGAAAAAGGAAAUUUUGUUUUAUUAUUAAAUCUUCUUUUCUUAGAUUAAGAUAUCAUCAGACCGGUAUGCUUAAGAAGGAAUGCAUUGAUUUUCUGAUUCAUUCUUUCCGCUCUUUGCUUAACUACAGCGGCUUACAUAAGCCCAUGUCCUUCAUGGAUCUAGGCGUCAUACGAAUAACGGCUAGCGGGAUUUCGCAUUCAAUCGGAGUUGCCUUAGUUGGUUUCCGAAGGGAAGGCACUCAAGACUCUAUAUAGUGGUUUAUGCCCUUAUUUGGCUUCAAGAAGCAUUAGAAUCCCUUAUUUAACUUGCGGGGCAAUCAAGGAAUAGAAGCUACCAUCCUAGCAUAGUGGUUUAUGCCCUUAUUUGGCUUCAAUAAGCAUUAGAAUCCCUAAUUUAACUUGCGGGGCAAUAAAGGAAUAGAAGCUACCAUCCUAGGGGGAGGAUCUAUUAUCUCACUACCCAGCUCCUCGUCUAGCAGCCAAGAACAAGAGAGCUACAACACUCAGGUUGUUGAAUGAUUUAAGAUCAGAUGAGAAAACCAACCCUAGGAGAGAGGCUCAAUAAGAUAAGUUAAUUGGAGUUCCCGCAAGGAGGUCCCACCAUUUACUUGACUCUUAGAACCUUUGUUGGUUUUGGGAAAUGGGGAUCAACUUCCAGGUCAGGAAAGGGCGAUCCAUCUAUUUAUUGGUUGAACCUAGUUCACGAGAAAGAGUCUCAGGGUUCCAAAUCUUUUUUUUACACCGAGAAGAAAUCAAUAGAAUCAUCAGAUACUAGAUGAAGAGGUACCCCGUAAAGCAGGAAUAGAGGAGGCACAGGCUUGCCAUUAGAAGAAACCAAAGGCAAUUAGUUCAUCUUUUAAUAGGUAGCCUGGUUAACCAGACCAGCUGGAGGGAAUUCCUGCCUUAAAGGAAUGGAAACACCUGGGACCUGUACUCCCCAACUUGGGAACUCAGCUUAUAGCGAAGGGAAGGAGCCGCUUUUUAUGCGACACUACUAUGGUGAAGAGUGAACCGAGACUCUUUUUAUUGAGAUUUCCCCCGGGUUUCUGCUUCAUUAUUGUCUUAAUUCAAGGAAGGACAAGUCCUUAUCAUCCCGAUCAGGAUAGCCGGGCCUUACUCGCUGCGGGUGAGCACCUCGGACUCUCUUUCUGCUUUCUGUUUGUCUACAAGCGUAAGGUGUUAAUGAAAAUGUUCAAGUAAAAUAGCCAUCAAAUGCAAAUUGAUGUUGAGAUGGAGUCCUUACGGAGGUACUCCUAUUAUCAGAUGAGGCAGAAUCAGAACCUGGAGAUCAACCCCAAGGACUGACUACGGGAGCAAGACUUGGAUUUCUGACUGCAUGACUUGAUUCCUCUUCUUCCACUGAGUUCUCGCAUUAUCAGAUGAGGCAGAAUCAGAACAUGGAGAUCAACCCCAAGGACUGACUACGGGAGCAAGGAUUGGAUUUCCAACUGCAUGACUUGAUUCCUCUUCUUCCACUGAGUGCUCGUGGAAUAUAAAGCGGGUUGUCGACAAGCAUGACGAGAGGGCGAGGUUCAAAGGAGGAAAGGCUUACGGUGGAUACAUAGGCACCCAGAGAGGAGGAAGGGCGUAGUAAUCGACGAAAUGCUUCGGGGAGUUGAACCUUGAAGUGGAUUCCAAUGUCAUAGCUUUUGCCUUCCCUCCUCGCUCUAUUUUUAUUCGGAACCCGGUUUCACCACUCUAUCUCACUAUGGCCACCCUGCUGGAGAAGAUUACUAGACCACUUUCUCCGUUUUUAUUCGGAACUCAGUUUCACCACUCUAUCUCACUAUGGCCACCCUGUUGGAGAAGAUUACUGGAUCACUUUCUCCCGUAUUACUACCUUGUUUUGUUGUGCCAAAAGGAAGUAAAAGCAUACUUUGCUACUAAUCUGCUAGCCGUCUAGCAGUAUUUCCUAUUUUUUGACUUACUUCUUUCUCUUUCUGUUGUUGGGUUUUUUUUCUUGUGAUGUGUACCUCUCUCUUUGAAGAAAGAGAGGGGGUGGGGACUAGUUUAGGAGUCUCAUUUUUGAGAUUCAUUCAUUCAUAAGGGUGUAUGAUAAGAAAAAGUAGUCUUACUUGUUGCAGAAAGAAAAGUAGCAUUUUACAAACUGCUUUGAUUCAUUAAGAUGAAAACUUCACACAGGAAGUGUAUGUCACGUAUAUUUCUUAGUCUAUUAUUUAUGAGUUUUAUGGGCCUCCAUGUCUUUGUCUCAAACUGCUUUGAUUCAUUAAGAUGAAACUUCACAAAGGAAGUGUAUGUCACGUAUAUUUCUUAGUCUAUUAUUCAUGAGUUUUAUGGGCCUCCAUGUCUUUGUCUGUGUGUGGUUUCUGAGCUAGGAGCGCUUGGAAUUUAAGUCCUACUCAUUAAUAUACUAUCAAAAAAAGUGGCUCUCCUUCUCUUAUGAGAGAUAGGCGCUCUCUCUACGGCCAAUUCUCUUUAACAAAAAAGGCAUUCCCUGAUCGUAGACCAUCCUUUAUCCUCUAAUCAUUAAUAUACUAUCAAAAAAAAUGGCUCUCCUUCAAUUGUGAGAGAUAGGCGCUCUCUCUACGGCCAAUUCUCUUUAACAAAAAAGGCAUUCCCUGAUCAUAAACCAUCCUUUAUCCUUUCUUAUCUUGACUUUCUAAGUGAAGUCCUUUAAUGCACGAGGAAUUGUAUUAAAGUGAAAGGCAUCAUUGGUAGGCGCAGUGAAUCGGCAAUCAGGCAAUUCGUUAAACGAUAUCCGUAUAAUGAAUACCUUUUCUAAAGCCAUACUGUGAAUAUCUUGUCUUCUGGUAAAGUGUUGGAAUCAGUCCACAAAUGACUUACUUAUUCAAAUUAGAUCCCUUGCACCGGUCCCAUCUGCCCUGUCUCAAUCGGUCGAGCUGUAUCGGUCAACUAUAGGAAACUGACCAAUAGCUCUUCUUUCUUUUGGUAAAGGUUAACGGUCCUGUUCAAGCAUUGGUGCAUAACGAGAGGCUAGCUCAGUAUAUUACCUUUCAUAUAGUUCUUUAGUUUAGGAGUUUAUGAUUUUAGGAUAGUAGCUUCGGUUGAUAGGGUAAGCGCUCAUUUCGUUCUUGCUUGCUUUCAUUCUGUUAUGAGAGAGAGCUGUUAUACGUCUAUUCUCUUUAGACAAAUGACUGUCUGCUGGAAAAUACAGAGUAGGAUUCAUCCGUGUGGUGAAUGAAAGAACAUUCAUUGAAUGAGUUGACGCUAAACCUCCUGCUCUUUAAGAGAGUCAAGGCUGUAUGCAUUACUGGAUUAAUUCGAAUUAAUAGUAAUAUAAACUAGGGUCCACGUAGACUAUUCAGAGGAGGUAUGCUAAUGCUAAUCCUCCUGCUCUUUAAGAGAGUCAAGGCUGUAUGCGUUACUGGAUUAAUUCGAAUUAAUAGUAAUAUAAACUAGUGUCAAUGUAGACUAUUCAGAGGAGGAAUGCUAAUCAAUGAUCUACUGAUGUAACUAGUGUUACUGAAGCUUUUGGUAGAUAUGCUAUUGGCUUAACUAGCUCUAAACCCUCCCACCGGAAAAUGGAAUGGAAUUUCAAGUACAAUUAGUCGUCUACACUUAAAAACUUUUUUGUCUUCACUGAUCAACAUUUAGUUUGGCCUAAGAUUUUCUAAGUCCGACACAUCACUUACUUUUCGUCAUCGUGGUUCCAUAACAAUUUUACUACCUAUUUAUGUGGUUGAUAUCUUGAUCACUGGCAUAAUCACUCAGCCCUUGAGGAUGCAGCUUCUACGGAUUGAGGUUAUUCCCCGCUAGAAUGGGCCAGGUGGGAUGGGGGAGCGGUCGAGCGUGCAAAGGCGCAAGUCGAGCAAGGUAUCUGAACUGAAAUGUAAAAAAGCGUGCAAAAGAAAAGGUCGGCUUUUCUUUUUGCUAACGAUUCCAAAGAUUCUAUCAUCGAACAUCGAAUUCUUGGCGGGUCUUAAAAUGUAAAAAAGCGUGCAAAAGAAAAGGCCGGCUUUUCUUUUUGCUAACAAUUCCAAAGAUUCUAUGAUCGAACAUCAAAUUCUUGGCGGGUCUUUCCUUGAUCCCUUCCUUGCCUCAUCUCCCUAAUCUCUCCUAUAAAUAACAAGGCCCUUGCGCAGGUGGUUAGCAACCGAAGACAAGAUUCGAGGGGCGUUCAGCCACUUGACUCUAAGGAGAGGGGCUGUUGCUGCAGUUUCGCCGCUUGCAUUGCAAUUCUCGCACGUUUUUAGGGCGGAUAAGAGGUACUUUUCAGCAUAAGAGCACGGUAGUCACGCCUCCCAUCUCAUUCUCUGGUCACGUAUUCGUCCUAUCUGUUCUAGUUCUCGCUCAUGGAUGCUUCUGUUCGCGCUUAGUCGAUUUUCAAGGAAAGAUGCAAGAAGACUCUACAGGCGCUGGAGUGCAACCGAAGACAAUAUUCGAGGGGCGUUCAGCCACUUGACUCUAAGGAGAGGGGAUGUUGCUGUAGUUUCUCCGCUUGCAUUGCAAUUCUCGCACGUUUUUAGGGCGGAUAAGAGGUACUUUUCAGCAUAAGAGCACGGUAGUCACGCCUCCCAUCUCAUUCUCUGGUCACGUAUUCGUCCUAUCUGUUCUAGUUCUCGCUCAUGGAUGCUUCUGUUCGCGCUUAGUCGAUUUUCAAGGAAAGAUGCAAGAAGACUCUACAGGCGCUGGAGUGAAGUGAUCCCCACCCGGGAAUCACGAACGGAGCUGUCCUUCUUCUCUAAAAGUAAGGGACUAGGGCUCUCAAGUCAGCCUUUCUCUAAGGCUAAAUAGCUAAAUAUCCCUGCUCAUGAAAAUUGUCAUGCCUCCCAUCUCAUUCUCUGGUCAGGUAUUCGUCCUAUCUGUUCUAGUUCUCGCUCAUGGAUGCUUCUGUUCGCGUUUAGUCUAUUUUCAAGGAAAGAUGCAAGAAGACUCUACAGGCGCUGAAGUGAUCCCCACCCGGGAAUCACGAACGGAGCUGUCCUUCUUCUCUAAAAGUAAGGGACUAGGGCUCUCAAGUCAGCCUUUCUCUAAGGCUAAAUAGCUAAAUAUCCCUGCUCAUGAAAGUGAAGAUUUUGAUGUCCACACGGCCGAAGGAUCCAAUAGUGAAUUCUUCUUUUCUUUACUCAAUGCUGAAGCUGGUUCUGAAGGAUCAAAUAGGUCAUGGCUUGGGGAGUCAUUGAAACCAAGACUUUCGGUUUAGUGUAUAUUAAAAAGAACAGAGGAAGGAGCCUAGCCUAUCCUAUAUAGUAGAGUAUUAGGCCUAACUCACAUGAAGAUAUAAACGCUAUUAAAUAGUCGCCUAGGAAGAUGACGGGCAAGACUCUGGAAGAGUGGCUUUCUGCUGAGGUUGCUUCUGACGGGCUUGUGAACAAUUCCGUAAAAACCCCUAGUAAAAACUAUGUAUGUAUAGUAUAACCGCCACUUCAAAUCAGUUGAAUCAAUGCAAGAAAUGUUGUUCCCACAUGCCUAUUCAUUCACAUUUGGUUGGAUUCCUCGGUUCAUAUUAUGCCAAAAAUGGAAUAGCCUCUUUCUAGCUAUUACUUUCCUUUAUUCAAGUAUGCGGGCAGGGAAUACGAAGGUCGAGUAGGCUUCAUCGGUUUGAGAAGGUGAAUGAAGAAUCUGAGUGAUCGAAGGUUCAAGUACUGAGCAAAUAUUCAAACGUCUAUUCAUGUGAGAACUUCUUUCCCCAUUGGUUGACACCACCUUAGCCUUAGUCAGUAAGGGAGGGGGGUGACUGUUAGAUACGGACUACGGAAGUUCUUGGGAAGAGGUUAGUGGAAGAGAUCAUCUUUCCGGGGUUGGACUCACUGAAGUGGACGAUAAGCAAGAGAAGACAGAGGAGUGGACCUGAAAAGCAUAAGAUUCAUUCAAUAGCCAAGCAGGAGAGUAUGCACCACUCCGAAGUACUAAUAACUAAGUUGAAAGAGAGCGGGGCAGGCCAUAGACGAAAGUGAACUAUAGACUACUUACCAAAGACCAUAGGCAAUGGACGAAAGACCAGCAGAAGGGCAUUAGUCGCCGAGGAAGCUAGUGCGCGUAGAUCAAAGCUUAGUGGAGAGACCAUACAUAGGAAAGUUACAAGGACGGGUUAUCAACAGGGGUCGAUGUAGGUUCGGUUACGGAGAAGUCAAUAAUCAAAGAUUUUGCGGAGGGUCCAGCAGUCACAAAUAACCCAAGCAGAAGGGUCAAGCUUAUUUGAAUUUGUUAUUGGAAAAUGAGGAGGAAGACAUCUGUCAUGGAGAUGCAAUACUCAAAUACUUACUUUGACCUAACGGCUUACCCGUUCUAUAAGAGAACGGUUCAACUAGUUAGGCGGUCUGGCGCAUUAUUCAUUGCUCUUUAUUUAAAGCAGUGUGCAUCAUCCGGGGUGAUACAAAAGAACUAUACCCUCUUGACAGCGUCCAUGUCCCUUAAUCAUCAGGCUACCCUCGGAUUCUUCCCUCCAGAUAUUAAUGAGGUGGGCAGGAAGGAUAGAGCCCAACUUAUUAUAUACGGAUACGGAUAUUCCUUGUCAUCCUAUUCUUGAUAUAGUUCCAACAGGCCUAUUCUUUGACUCUCCUAUAGUGAAUAGUAUAUUCUUUCCAUCUUCCCACUAGGAUAGAUAUUCUAACAAAAAACUACCUAUCUUAGCUAGUUGGCAGCUCCGCAUCGUGAACUCCAUCGAAAAGGGUAUCCGAUCUCUCUUUUAUGGGUUGUUUCUCUCGUAUCCGACCUAUCCGAGUUAGCCCUCCCAAGCGGACAAAAAGGUGGAUCAUCUGAUCUUGAAAUAGGUCAUCCCGGCUAUCCCGAUCUUUUAUCUGUUCAUUUCGUCAGGUAUCUGAAUCAUACGAUUCUGAGGAUUCUGCUUUUCACAUUCAUUCUACGUGACCCAAACGAGGCCUUUCCUGGAUAGUUGGAAUAAAAACCUCAACAGCAGCCUUCAUUGAACCCCUUCUUCCUAUCCUUGCUACCUAUGAAACGAGUCCCUCUUUCAUUCACUAAAGAAGACGCAGCUGAUAGAUGGAUGAAUAUACAUUUGAUGGCCAGUUCUAUGAAGAAAAAUCUCGAGUUGGAGGCAUCGCUGGGAAAAAAGCGUGACCCAAACGAGGCCUUUCCUGGAUAGUUGGAAUAAAAACCUCAACAGCAGCCUUCAUUGAACCCCUUCUUCCUAUCCUUGCUACCUAUGAAAUGAGUCCCUCUUUCAUUCACUAAAGAAGACCCAGCUGAUAGAUGGAUGAAUAUACAUUUGAUGGCAAGUUCUAUGAAGAAAAAUCUCGAGUUGGAGGCAUUGCUGGGAAGAAAAGCCAAUUGAUUCGAUUUUCUCGAAAUCAACGAGUGGACUUGAAAUCAUAGAUCCAUUUUGUGAUCCACGCGACUCAGACAAGAAUCCUAUAUCUUACCCACCCAGUGCUGUUCUGAUUGAAUUUCAAAGAUCUCGCUCGCUGUCAAAGCGCAUUUUGUGAAGUGUUCUCCUGCCCCUGUCACCUGAGAUAAAGUCAACUGGAAACCGUGAUCGGAGUCGUGGUUUGAAGAUGAUGAUUUGAAGAUUCAUUCGACAGAGAAGGGUGUCUUGGUUGCCGAUACCGAGGUUGAAUGAAUCAUUCCACCUGGCAACAGCAAAAGUGGAGUUUGGCACAGGUCAAAGGGGAAAGCAAGGAGGAAUUCCACUUUGGAAAGGAAAAGGGCAGUUCCAAACGAAGGACCUGAAAGGGGAAAGCAAGGAAGAAUUCCACUUUGGAAAGGAAAAGGGCAGUUCCAAACGAAGGACCCACCCUCAAGGGGAAAGCUUCCCGGUGUCCAAGUGUCAGGUCCCGAGGGCUUGUGUCCGCCGAAAGCUUCCUUUUUUCUUUUUAGUCUUUCCUUGCAAUGAACCGAAAGGUGAGAGGCAGGGCUCGAUCUGAAGGUUUAAUUUAAAGUCACUAGUCAGUCCAACUGCACAAGUGAAAGGCGAAAGUAAAGAUUAAGUGCAACCAGGUCUAACGUGGCAAAGGUCACCGAGUCAUCAAAAAGGGGAAUAGGUUGUUUUGCGCAUCCAACAAUUGAAAGAGUUUAUGGAGAAGGGUUGAGUUGCGUAAUAGCGGAUUCGUAGGUCAAUAAAUCAUUGGAUUUGAAAUCGAACCCUCUACCUUGGGCGGAUAGGAAUUGAGACUUAUAAUGGUCCGCUCUUCUCUCAUCGUGAUCGAAGCUGACCCCAGAAGUUGGGUAUUCCUUCAUAAGAGGACACUAACCCUCCCGAUCUUGCUAGCUGGGGGCUCAGUCGUUCAAGAUUCAAUCUUUCCCCUUCCGGUCCCAGAGAAUCGCUCUUAUAGUAGGAGGUUCACUAUGUCCUCAACUUCUCUUUAUUAAGAAAGUCGGUUGUCUACUAUAAUUAGAUUAAGAUCGUAAAAACAUAACCUUGUAAUAUAGCUAGACCAAAUUCAAUAAAUGGAGUCCGGUAAUAUUAUUAUGAAACUGAACCGAUAUGGCAGAAAGCAGAAGCAGCCGGUACGUCUUUUCGGGUUCAUUCAUGUCCAAUAAACUUCAGACAAAAGAAGAUUCGGGUAUCAGAGUUUAGUGGACAUGCGACGGGAGGAUGGGGGGAAGAGCAAAGACAAGACGAAAGCAAGUGUUCCGGCAUCUUACUUUACUAGUUUCAUUACCGUGUGAUAGUCACCCCUUUCUCGGUAAAGGAGAGUGAGCAGCUUCUUUUUUGCUACUGCUGCCAUACCACAAAGAAGUUCGAUAGCAGCGCUUACUUCUUCCUUCAACCCUGAAAAGAGCAUAUGCAUCCCGGGAUUCUCUCCAUCUCAGAAGUGGAUUCCCCUGCAAGGGUACUUGAGUACGACUACGGCUAUGAAAAGCUUAUCGAAAGAGGAGGAAAGAGCGUAAACUCGACUCUAAAAGUUUCAGUUGCCUCCCUCUCUCAGGAUUAUCCUGCAAGGGUACUUGAUUAUGACUAUGGCUAGGAAAAGCUUAUCGAAAGAGGAUGAAAGAGCGUAAACUCGACUCUAAAAGGUUCAGUUGCCUCCCUCUCUCCGCCCUAUUACUGAGAAAAAGAAGCACGGCGAAAAGCCAACCUGAUUUUUUUUAUUCGUUUGACGAGGGAAGACCUUAAGUACUGAAUUAAUUAAAUUACACCUAUAUCGCGAAAAAGAGCUGCUCUAGCUUUAGCGCGCACCCUUUCUCCUAUGAGGAAAGUGACUCUUUCCGAUUCAUGUCUGGCCCUUCCUGGAUCUGGAUCACAGUAUACCGGCGACUUUGUCCUUGAAUUCAUUCUAUUUCAUAUCCACCGAUCCGUGGAUGAGACCAAGGAAGAGUAAGAUAGAUUUAGGGCCGGCAGGCGGGUCUGGAAUAGAUUCCCCAACGGGCCCUGACUUUUCAACAACAUAGGCAAAAACUUACUCUUUCAAGUCAAAGUCAAAGUCAAAGUCGGGUAGACUAAGAUGGAGUUUAUUUUACAGUUGUUCCAGGGAUAUGGGUAUAGAGUGAAUUCUAUUCACUCUUUAUGAAGUUCCGUGCACUCCUUAUAUCACGGGCCCUGACUUUUCAACAACAUAGGCAAAAACUUACUCUUUCAAGUCAAAGUCAAAGUCAAAGUCGGGUAGACUAAGAUGGAGUUUAUUUUACAGUUGUUCCAGGGAUAUGGGUAUAGAGAUAAUUCUAUUCACUCUUUAUGAAGUUUCGUGCACUCCUUAUAUCAUAAAGAAAAAAGUAAAUAUUGUGCCCCGGUAGACGCGCAGACCGAGUGAGUUUCCGCCGAUCGUGAUCCAGAUGUGCCAAAGAUUGAAGACUAUGAUGGUACGGUGCUAUCCUUGUACUUUGUUUGUUGCACAUGGCCCAAUGUACACUUGCCCCCUUUUUUCUCACUCUUUUGGUGGUUUGUCAAUUUGAAUCUAUUUUCUUUAUGCUGCCGAAAGACGGAAAGGGGAACCGACUCAUUCCUUCCUUGCGGAGGAUGAAUCAAGCCCUGAAGUUGGUUCGUCGAGCAAGAGGAGAGAAGGAUCAACAAGGAUUUCAUUCCCUAUGCUAGUUGUUUUUCUCUCCCCCAGAUAUGCCUUUAUCCACCUAUUCUCGUGUGACGACAUCUAUGAUUGUGAAAUUCAGGAAUGAACAGUUGCAACAAUCAUGUUCCAAUUUCUUUUGACAGUUUUAGAUUGUGGUGCUUUGUAAUCAAGGGCGAGAAGGAAGUUCAUGGAAAGGUAGCUCACAUACCUUUCCAGGCCUAAUUCUUUNNNNNNNNNNNNNNNNNNNNNNNNNNNNNNNNNNNNNNNNNNNNNNNNNNNNNNNNNNNNNNNNNNNNNNNNNNNNNNAAAAAGCACAUCAUCUUGUGUCACGAAACCCACCUAGCACAACAUUGCUCAAUUCGGUAUGGAAGUUAAUACAAAAUCAUGUACAUUGAAAGAAAGACUUUUCUAUAUUCUUGGUUUUAGGGCAAUAGAAAGAGAGAAGGAAAAAAGAAUUAUUGAUGGAUAGGUAAUAUACCUCCUAUUGAUAGCUAUGGGAUUUCAUUGUAUGUGACAGUUCCUCUGACAAUUUCUUGCAAUCUUCCUCCCAAUAUCUUUAACAAGGUUGUUUUCCCACUUCCAGAAGGCCCCAUUAAGGCAAGAAUUUCACCCUUCCUGUUAUACCCUUGAGUAUCUGCUUGUAAAUGUCAUGCUCAAACGGGAAGCUACCUUUGAUACAACUGCCUUGAAAGGAUUGUUGAAGGAAGCUUGGCUAAUCUUCACCAUGUACUCAACAUCCACGAACUGCAUUCAAAGACAUGAAAGAUUUGUUAGAGAAAAAAAAAGUACCUUGAGAAAUAUGGGGAGGGGUUGAUAUUUAUCAGCAAUUGAUGUAUCAUCCUCUACCUCUAUAUCAAUUUCAGAACUUCUGUUUCUGAGGUAAGCUUGAGACAUGAACUCUAUGUUAUCGCCAAAGCCAUUGCUUCCAGCAAUCUGCAUGGAGCCAACAGCUGGAGGGGACAAUGACAAAUCCUCAAUUUCAUCUUGUCUAAGAUGCUCCAUUGUGUCAUGAACUGCAAGUUAACAGCUGGAGGGGACAAUGACAAAUCCUCAAUUUCAUCUUGUCUAAGAUGCUCCAUUGUGUAAUGAACUGCAAGUUAAGCGUUGCUCUAUCCUGUUUAAUGGUGUUGGACAAAGUUCAUUGUUAUAUAUGGUCGAUAAGAUAGACAUAACCAAAACUCUGUCAAAAUCUUGAAAUUGGUGAGCCACAUGCUUUCAAUGGGAAACUAUAGAAUCUUUCUAAUUGUGAAUUUCUAGUUAUCACACGUACUUGAUGCGCUUGACUUUCUUCAAAAUUCUAUUUUAAUCAAGUGUUCAAAUGACACUGUUUGGGGUAUUCUAACUCAGCAACGACGUACUAGCUGUCAAUACAUAAUAAACUAAAUAAAAGUGUUCCCUCUCUGAUAUCUAAAUUUUUUAGAUGAGUCGGUUCACACAAUUCACCAUAGUAGAGUAGGCAGAGGUCCAGGAUUCGAGUCUUGCCGCCACUUAUUAACAGUGGAGGUAGGAGAUCUAGUUAACGAAAAGGCUAGGCUGCAGCUAUUCAAGAAUCUCAAAGUCUAUCUAUAGCAAUUGCUAUUUCAUAUCGGAGCUUCUGCUAAAGAAAGUGGUGAUCCCUAGCUUGAGACUCAAACUCUGGAAGCCGACCUGCCAACAGACAUUGUGGGAGAAUGCUCUUCACCAUCAUCAGAAAAUGUUGCUUAGCGGCAACCUUGAAAUAGGGUCAAGUUUGACUGCAUCAAGCUCUAAAGCCGGGUAUUCUGAGCCAGCUCGAAGCCUUAUAGCUAGAUCAAAGACUGCCGUAAGUUGCAUCUUGAGUCUUAAGAAUUGGGUCCCUUAGCCCCUGGAUUGGUGCGCAAGCAAAAGAAGAACAAAAAAGAGGGGCCUCUGUCGUAUGUUGCAUCUUGAGUCUUAAGAAUUGGGUCCCUUAGCCCCUGGAUUGGUGAGCAAGCAAAAGAAGAACAAAAAAUAGGGGCCUCUGGCUUAUUAAGAAUCAUAUAAACGACAUACUAAGCAGAAGCAGGUAGACGAAGGGAGAGGGGCUUAUUCGAAAGGCUAGAAACUUAUACGUAUAAAGAUAUGCACUGAGUGCCAUUUGAUGAGUAACUGAGAACAAAGGAGAGGGAUAUGGAAAGAAUGAAGUAAUGAAAGAGGAAGUCAUUGCUAGUAGUAACGACUUGUCACGAUCCAUUGGUUCAUAUAGAAUCCAUGUCCUAGGUGUAUCAAAAAACAUUCUUUUCGCUAAGCGUAUAUAAUAAAAUAGAGUGAAAAGGUCCACCCCGAAACCAAGGGGGUACUAACUAACAGCUGAGUCCUCUCCGAACCGCAGGAGAUAGUUGCCCAUCAUAGCGAAACCAUGGGGGUACUAACUAACAGUUGAGUCCUCUACGAACCGCAGGAGAUAGUUGCCCAUCAUACGGCUCACCAACUUCACUUGCCUCUAUGGGAGGCUCGCUCCGGGCAGGUUCGGAUCACUUACAAUACACGGGCUCUACGAAGGAAGGGGUUGGGUUAGGAGCGUUUUCAAUAUGAUUCUUUUCCUGUAUUUGUUCGAUGAGAAAUGCGAGUCUGUUUUGUCCACUUUCUUCA
rnacentral:lncRNA from 1 species